rnacentral:snRNA from 1 species
GUAUGUGAAAGCUAUCUGGCUUACACAUCUGUCAUCCCAGUGGUCACCAGGAUUGACCUGAUAUAUCUGGAUGCUUAGUCUAAUGUCCCUUUCCUUCAUGCCACUCCAGCUCCAUGUGCAUCCCUCAACGUGCACACUCAUUUGGAAAGGGUAGAUGAGGUCAGAUGAAAGUCUGAAGGCAAGAGUAUAUUAGUAGUUUUGCUCCAUGCUAAAACCUCCAGGUAAGUGGUCAGAGAGUUUAAGCAACAAGGAUAACACAACUCUGGAUACUCCUAGCUGUUUGGCAAGUCCAG